rnacentral:lncRNA from 1 species
CUGAUGUCUUUAGAUCACAAGGCGGUCAUAUUAUUAUUCAUCAUAUAAGAUAUAGUACAUAAAAAGCUCAGCGUUAGGAAUGAAAAGUGGUAGAAAAUGAUAUUGCUUAUUACAUUCACAUUGGGCGAUUGAUCCGGUAUAUAUAUGUAGAUGCAGAAAACAGAUAUAUAGUACUCGACGCAUUCACAUUGCUCGGGUGCAUAUCGGUAGGUACGUAGUAGUAUAGUAUAGUAUAUAUAUUUAUGAUGAUGCAGGAGUCGGCGGGCCGGUAGAAUUGCCGUAGCCCUAGUUUUUCACUUUUUCCAUGUGAGGAACUCUCCUGAGACAAAGUCGUAGUGGGCGCCGAUCAGCUUGAGGGUCCCAUUUGCAAGCCCUUCCUUGACGAAGGGGUAGGUCUUGAGGUUCUCCAGGGACACGUUCACGGCCUCCUGCAGAAACAAUAGAGGUCCUUUUGGUGAGCAAAAACCAAUCUAUUCAUGCAACAGUAACUGCUCGACGAAUGUACAACAUACCUUCUCGAGAAUGGAGCACUGGUCAUCGAACGGCACCGAGGCGUGCUCUUUCUUUACCUUCAUCUUGGCAAUGAAGCCGAUCUUAACCCAGUCCUCGACGAAGUGGCUGCGUACGUACACCACACCAAACCAACACACAACAUGGUAUAGAGAGGAUCAAAAUCAUGCAUGACAUAAAUAAGCGCAAAUAGUUUUUUAUAUCUAAAUGAAACUUGUAUAUAUUUUACUGUCGCGACUUACAAGGUGUCAGGUGCGCCGUCCUGGAGGGAGAGGAGCGCCCUGAUGCCACCGCAGCAGCUAUGGCCAAUGACCACGAGGACCUCCACCUUGAGAGCGCACACAGCGUACUCGAUGGCGGACCCGAUGCCGG